UCCCAGACUCCUACGGGAGGCAGCAGUGGGGAAUAUUGGACAAUGGGGGGAACCCUGAUCCAGCGACGCCGCGUGAGUGAAGAAGUAUUUCGGUAUGUAAAGCUCUAUCAGCAGGGAAGAAAGAAAUGACGGUACCUGACUAAGAAGCCCCGGCUAACUACGUGCCAGCAGCCGCGGUAAUACGUAGGGGGCAAGCGUUAUCCGGAUUUACUGGGUGUAAAGGGAGCGUAGACGGUUACGCAAGUCUGGAGUGAAAGGCGGGGGCCCACCCCCCGGACUGCUUUGGAAACUGUAUAACUGGAGUGCAGGAGAGGUAAGUGGAAUUCCUAGUGUAGCGGUGAAAUGCGUAGAUAUUAGGGGGAACACCAGUGGCGGGGGCGGCUUACUGGACUGUAACUGACGUUGAGGCUCGAAAGCGUGGGGAGCACA
rnacentral:rRNA from 1 species